rnacentral:rRNA from 1 species
GUGACCCCAGGAUGGGCGAGGCCACCCGCUGAGUUUAAGCAUAUCAAUAAGCGGAGGAAGAAAAAAACUAUACA